CAGCAGCCACGGGAAUACGUAGGGUGCGAGCGUUAAUCGGAAUUACUGGGCGUAAAGCGUGCGCAGGCGGUUGUGUAAGACAGGUGUGAAAUCCCCGGGCUUAACCUGGGAACUGCGCUUGUGACUGCACAGCUAGAGUAUGGCAGAGGGGGGUGGAAUUCCACGUGUAGCAAUGAAAUGCGUAGAGAUGUGGAGGAACACCGAUGGCGAAGGCAGCCCCCUGGGCCAAUACUGACGCUCAUGCACGAAAGCGUGGAGAGCAAACAGGAUUAGAUACCCCCGUAGUCCCUGUCUCUUAUAC
rnacentral:rRNA from 1 species